CAAGGGUCUCACUACUCUCCGGGAGGAGCGUCCUAUCCAUCCAUUCCAUUGGCUACUUACCACCCAAUGGACUAAAGUGAUUGGUCAAGAAUCAACGCCCCCUCCCCACCCACUCCCAGGAAAGCCCGCCUUCUAGACCUAAACAAAGCUUCCCAAUAGCCAGAGCCAGAAAGAACGAGCCAAUGAGAAAGGAGCCGACACGGAAUAUUUCCUCGAGGCCAGGACAUGGUGUUUUGAUUGGACGUCACUGCAGUGUUUCCCAAGCCGUCCAGACCAAUCAAAGGGGGUUCCCGGAACUCGGGAACAGCGAAGGAAAGCCCCGCCCCUGAGCGUGACCGUCAUGAGGAAGACGCUUGCUCAUUGGAGCGCUGGGGCUUUUCCCGCGUGCUCCCGGGGCUGAAGGACGUUCCCGGGGAAGCCGCUGCCGGCGCGUGGGGUCCCGGUGGCAGUGGAGGAUGCAGCGGGAUCUCCGGGCUCCCACAACCUGCCACGCCGGCCGAGAGCGAGCCCCCCAGGAAAGCUUAAAAUACUGAAACUUUAUUUUGGUCACGUUGCCCAUGUGACCGACGGAGCCGAUGAGUCAUAGACGCCUGUCCCAGGAUGAGGCCGCCGCGCGGAUGUUCGGAACGAUGAGCCCCGGCGUCCCUGGCAUCCUGGGCUAUUUCCAAGCGCCCGCUGCGCCAGCGCCGGGUGCGGGCGCGCUCCUCUGCCAAGCCAGAUGUCGGGGAGCCAGAGACCCUUAAAACAGAGGCAGAGGAGAGCACCGCUGCAGCCUUUCUGGAAACCCAGCCACGUCGGAAUAGACCUGCACGUCUUGAAUGGAGAAACUCCGAGCUGCGGGGCAUAGCGCUCACCAAAGCCAUGCCCCGCUCUAGAGAUUCAGGAAUUCUGUACGUGGGCCGGUGACCCCAGAAACAAAGGACAGAGCUUGAAUCUCAAGUUUAUUAUUUUUAAAAAGUUAAAUAAAAUACAUCCGAAAUCUAA